rnacentral:rRNA from 1 species
AACGAACGCUGGCGGCAGGCUUAACACAUGCAAGUCGAGCGCCCCGCAAGGGGAGCGGCAGACGGGUGAGUAACGCGUGGGAACGUACCUUUUGGUUCGGAACAACUCCGGGAAACUGGAGCUAAUACCGGAUAAGCCCUAACGGGGAAAGAUUUAUCGCCGAAAGAUCGGCCCGCGUCUGAUUAGCUAGUUGGUGAGGUAACGGCUCACCAAGGCGACGAUCAGUAGCUGGUCUGAGAGGAUGAUCAGCCACACUGGGACUGAGACACGGCCCAGACUCCGAGGGGGGGCAGGAGGGGGGAAUAUUGGAAAAGGGGCGCAAGCCUGAACCCGCCAGGCCGGGGGAGGGAAGAAGGCUUUAGGGUUGAAAACCUUUUUUGUCCGGGAAGAAAAGGACUGUACCGGAAAAAAAAGCCCCGGCUAACUUCGG